AGUGAACGCUGGCGGUAGGCCUAACACAUGCAAGUCGAACGGCAGCACAGUAAGAGCUUGCUCUUACUGGUGGCGAGUGGCGGACGGGUGAGGAAUACAUCGGAAUCUACUUUUUCGUGGGGAUAACGUAGGGAAACUUACGCUAAUACCGCAUACGACCUACGGGUGAAAGCAGGGGAUCUUCGGACCUUGCGCGAUUGAAUGAGCCGAUGUCGGAUUAGCUAGUUGGCGGGGUAAAGGCCCACCAAGGCGACGAUCCGUAGCUGGUCUGAGAGGAUGAUCAGCCACACUGGAACUGAGACACGGUCCAGACUCCUACGGGAGGCAGCAGUGGGGAAUAUUGGACAAUGGGCGCAAGCCUGAUCCAGCCAUACCGCGCGGGUGAAGAAGGCCUUCGGGUUGUAAAGCCCUUUUGUUGGGAAAGAAAAGCAGCAGGUUAAUACCCCGCUGUUCUGACGGUACCCAAAGAAUAAGCACCGGCUAACUUCGUG
rnacentral:rRNA from 1 species